rnacentral:lncRNA from 1 species
CGCCCGUUGCCUCGCCCCCCUGUCCGCCUCCUUGGUCCGUGUUUCCCGCCGGGUCGCCUGGGGCGCCCCCCGGCCCGCGUCCGGCGCGCGCCGCUGCCGCCGCCCGCCGGCGGCGCGCGCUGCCUUCCCCCCUCGGGGCGCCGGCGUUCCCCGGGCGUCUCGCGCGCCCGGGCUUUGGCCGCCCCCCCCUCCCCGCUGGUCCCCGCCCCGCGUCGCUCGGCGGCCCGGCUCGUCGCCGUUCCCCCUCCGCCCGGGGCGCCUCGCCGGCCCCCUCCGCUUCCCUCCCGCCCCUUUCCCGCCCUCUUUGCCUCUCUUUUCCCCGUCCUUUUCCUCUUUCCCUCGCGGUCCUUGUUCGCUCUCGGUCUCUCGCCCGUCUUUCGCCUUGGCCGGCCUUCCCCGCCCGCUUUGGGCUGCCUUCCCCCCCCCCGCCUCGUCGCCCGCGCCUCGUGGUGCGCCCGGGUCCGGGCCCGCCGGGGCUCUCCCCCUCUCCGGCGCCCCCUUCCCGGGGCCUUGGGCCCGGUCCGCCGCUGCGGCCGCUUCUCCCGCCUCCCCUUCGGCCGCCGGCGCCGCCCGCUUCUCCGGCUGGGCUGUUCCCGGUUCGCUCGCCGUUCCUCGGGGCCUCCUUGUCCGUUUCUUUUCCUCCGCUUCUUGCUCUGCUUCCCCUCCGCGGGUCCUCCCGCCUGCCCUGGGGUCGCGGUCGGCGCGCCUGGUGCGGCGCGGUGCGGGUCGGGGCGUCCGGCCGCGCGCCGGGCUGUCGCCGCGCCCCCCGCGCGCGUUGCGUUUCCCCCCCCCUUGCCGCGCCGUCCGUCGCCGUGGCCUCGCCUUUCGGCCGGCCGCGCGCUCGGGGCGCCCGGGCGGCCCGCUUCCGCCCCCGCGCUCCCGCCUUGCGGCGUGCGCGGGGGCGCCGCGCUGCGUGCCGCCCCGGCCGCCGUGCCCUCGGCCCCCUGGCUUCGGGCGCCCCUUGCGUUCCCCGCCUCGCUGGUUCCCGGGCUUCUGCCCUUCCCCCCCGUCUCGCCUUUCGCUCCGUUCUUCCUCGCUGCGCGCGCCGCGCUCUCCGUUGCCGCGCGUCGUUUGUGUUCCCCGCGCCGCGCGCUUCCCCCGCCCGCUCCGCGCCCGGGGCGCGCGGGGGCGGGCUGUCGCUUGUCGUCUUCCUUGGCGCUUUCCGCGCCGGGGUUCGUUGGUCGCCCGCCGCGCUUGCGCGCCUCGGGCGCCGGGGGGCGGCGCGCGCCGCGCGCGCGCCGCCCCCGGUGUUUCCCCCGCGUUCGCGGGUCGUUCUGCUGUGCCGGUUUCGCCCCUGCUCCUUCCGCCGGUUCCCCUCCGGCCCCCUUGUUCCGCCUUCUCCUUCCUCUCCCUGCUCCGGUUCCCUGGCCUUCUCGCGCCGUCGCGGGCCGCGCCCCGCCCCCGUCGCCGCGCUCCGCCCCUUUCCCCGGCUCCUUCCCUCGGUCGGCGCGCCGGGCGGUGUGUCCCCGGGCCGGGCCGUCGUCCCCGCGCGCUGCUGCCUCGCGCUUCCUCGGCCUUCCUCGUUGCCGCCCCCCCUUGCCCUGCUCUCUCCCCCUCCCGCUGCCCUUUCCCCGCUUCCCCGGGCCUGUCGGCCCCGGCUCUCCGCUCGUUGCCUCCCUCCGUGUCGCGCGCGUGCGGCCCCGCCCCUCUCCGGGCCUCCCCGCCCUGUUCUUGCCUCCCCCUUCCGCGGCCUCCCCGGCCGUCGUCCCUCUCCGCCGCUGGCCGCGCCGGGCUCCCUCCGCCUCGCUCGUUCGCCGGCUGCGGUCUCGUUCGUUCCCGGCCUUCCCCCCCCCCUCGCUCCCCCCCUCCGCCCGGCCCUGCCCCCCCCCCUCGCCUCCCGCCCGCGCUCUCCGUCUGUCCCUCCUUCCUCUGUCUGGCCCUGGUCCGUUUCCCCGUGUUGCGUCCCCUUCCGCCGCCGGCUCCCCUCCUGGUGGUGCCCUUCCGUCCCUUCCUUUCCGUUUCCGCCUUGCGCCCCUCCUCCCCCCGGCCCCCCCCCUUUGCUUUCUCCUCCGGUGCCGGCGGCGUCCUCCCCGCCCCCUCCGCCGCUCCCUGGUCGGCCUCGUUUCUGGUUGCGCCUCGGCCGGUCUCUGCUCGUCUUCGCGCCCCCCCUUUCGUUCUUGCUUCCUGCCCCCUCCUUGGCCCCUGCUUUCGCCGUUGUUCGUCUUUCCUCCCUCCCCGCCUUUCCCCUCUGCCUCUGCCCUCCGCCUGCCCCCGCCUGUCCCUGUUCCUCCUUCCUCCGCUCCCGCCGGCCCCCGUCCUCGGCCCGCCCUCCUCUCCUGUUCUCCCCUGCUCCUGUCUCCCGCGCGUCGGCUUGCUUUGCGCCCUCUCCUUUCUUCCCCGUCCCCGCGCCGGCGGCCCGCCCCGGCCCCUUCCGGCCCGGCGCGCCUCGCCGCCCGCCGGGCCGCGCCGCCCGGUGCCCCCUCGGGCGGCCCGGCCGGCCCCUCCCCCGUCCCCUCCGCGCUUUUUCCCUGCCCCCCUUCCCUCUCCGCUCUUGGCGCUGGCCUUCCCGCGGCUGCUGGCCCCCGCCUUGCCCUCCCCUGGCUCCUCGUUCCGGGCUUUCGCUUGUCCUCCUUCCCCUUCCCCGCCUCCUCGCGCCCGGUCUUGUUCUUUCUUGUCCCUCCCUCCCCGUGUCCGGCUUGGGUCCUUUGCGCGCCUGCUGCCUUCCUUGGCUGUGGUCGCCGUUUCUCCGGCUCCCUCUCCGGCCUCGCCCCCUCCUUCUCCGUCCCCCGUCCCCCCUGGUCGGCCCCUCUCCUCCCCUCGCCCGUUGCUCGGGCCGCCCUUUGCCUGCUGCGUCGCCGGCCCGCUGGCCGUGCGCUCCGUCGCGUUCUCCUGCCUCCUCGCCGCCCCGGGCCGCGCCCGCGUCGCCCUUUUCUCUCCUCCCUGCCUCCCUUCCCGCCGUCGGGGUUUGUUGCCCGUCUUCGCUCUCGCCUUCCUCCGGUUCUCCGCGUCGUCGCUCCCCUCCCCCCCUCUCCCUGCUUUCCUGCGCCCUUCGCCGUUUCCCCGUCUGCCUUUGUUCCUCCUUCCCCCUGCCUGGCUUCCUCUUUGCGCCCCGCCUCUGCCUCCUGGCCGGCUCCCCCGGUCGCCUUCCUCCCCGCCGCCGCGCGCCGCCUGCGCCCGGCGCGCCCUUUCGGGCCCGGUCGGGUCCCCGGCGCGCGCGGCCGUCCUUCGCCCGGCGCCUUCGUUUUGGGCCGCUCGCCGCCGGUGCCGGCCCCCUGCCCCCUGCGUCUCCCGUCUCCGCGCCUUCGCGGCGCCGCUCCCGGCCCCCGCCCUCGCCCGCCGCCGCGCGGGCCGGCGUGGGCCGCGCGCGCGUCUUUUGGGUUCCCCCCGCGCCUGGGCUGCGCGGGGCGCCCGGCGCCCGUUUGCCCGUGCCCCCUGCCUCGGCCGUCGGUCUGCCGCCCCGGCCGUUCCGCCGUCCGCCCCGCCUCGCUUGCGCUUCCUCCGUCCCCGCGUUGGCCUGCGCGUUCGGCCGUCGCUGCUCGCCGCCGGGCUCCCCCUCCCCCCUGCCCCCUCCCCUCCUGCGCCGUCCGUGCCUCGCUCCGGCCCUGCCCGCCCGCCCUCCCCCCGCCGCCCGCCCUUCGCUGUCGUGCGCCGCCGCCGCUGCCUUCUUUGCCCGGCCCCUGCUCCCCCGCCGUUGCGCGCCGCCCCCGGGCGUUGCGCCUUUCCUCCCUGCCCCGCUUGUUGGCGGCCGCCCCCGGUUCCCCCGGGGCCCCGCCCCGCCCGGUCCCUCCUCGCGUCUGGCCGUCCCUGGCCUUCCGUGCCCCGUGCGUGCGCCGCCUCGCGUUCGCCGUCCCCGGCGCUCUCGCCCUCGCCCCUCGCCCGCCCGCCCUGCCGUUUCCCCCCCCCCGCCCUCCUCCCCCGCUCUUGCGCCGUUCCCUCGGCGGCGCCCGUUCGCCCCGCCGCCGUCGCUGGCCUGUUUUUGUCCGCGCCCCCCGGCGUCGCCCGGCCGCGCCCUGCCUGCCCUCCCGCUCCCCCGCCGCCCGCCUCCUCCGCCCCCGGCCGCCCCUGGCCUCCGCCUUGUCCCGCCUCGGUCGCCCCGCCGCCGUCGUCGCCCUGUUUUUGCCCGCGCCCCCGGCGUCGCCCGGCCGCGCCCUGCCUGCCCUCCCGCGCCCCCGCCGCCCGCCUCCUCCGCCCCCGGCCGCCCUUGCCGUCCGCCUGCUUUCGCCUCCGUUGCCCCGCCGCCGUCGCUGGCCUGUUUUUGUUGCCGCCCCCCGGCGUCGCCCGGCCGCGCCCUGCCUGCCGUCCCGCGCCCCCGCCGCCCCCUCCUCCGCCCCCGGCCGCCCCUGCCGUCCGCCUGCCCCCGCCUCCCCGCCCUCCCGCCGUCGCGGGCGUGUUUUUGUCCCCGCCCCCGGCGUCGCCCGGCCGCGCCCUGCCUGCCGUCCCGCGCCCCCGCCGCCCGCCUCCUCCGCCCCCGGCCGCCCUCGCCGUCCGCCUGCCUUCGCUUCCGUUGCCCCGCCCCCGUCGCUCGCCUGUUUUUGUCGCCGCCCCCCGCCGUCGCCCGGCCGCGCCCUGCCUGCCCUCCCGCGCCCCCGCCGCCCGCCUCCUCCGCCCCGGCCGCCCUCGGCGUCCGCCUGCCGUUGCCCCCUCGCCCCGUCGCCGUCGCCGCCGUGUUUUUGUCCCCGCCCCGGCGUCGCCCGGCCCCGCCCUGCCUGCCCUCCCGCGCCCACGCCGCCCGCCUGCUCCGCCCACGGGCCGCCUCUGCCGUCUGCCUGCCUGCGCCUCCGUCUGCCUCCAACACCUCUCCCCCCUUCUCUCUGCUUCCCCCGUUUUGCCCCUGUGCCAGGCGUAGCCCUGGCUUUUCCCGCGCCUCCUAAUGCCCCUGUCAACCCAAAUAUGCGCGGUCUCCGGUACAAACACACAUCAGCCUUCAUAAUUGACUUUAAUAUGUAUAAAAAAAUAUUUUUCAACAAUUUUUUUUGAUUUUUAUUUUUUUCAAAAAUUCCCAAAAAUUAGUAAUAAAUUAAUAAAAAAUAGGGAAAAUAUCGAAAAAAUAUGAAAUCAAC